AUUGAACGCUGGCGGCAUGCUUUACACAUGCAAGUCGAACGGUAACAGGCCUUCGGGUGCUGACGAGUGGCGAACGGGUGAGUAAUGCAUCGGAACGUGCCCAGAGGUGGGGGAUAACGCAGCGAAAGCUGUGCUAAUACCGCAUGUGAUCUGAGGAUGAAAGCGGGGGACCAAGCAGCAAUGUUUGGCCUCGCGCCUCUGGAGCGGCCGAUGUCAGAUUAGGUAGUUGGUGGGGUAAAGGCCUACCAAGCCGACGAUCUGUAGCUGGUCUGAGAGGACGACCAGCCACACUGGGACUGAGACACGGCCCAGACUCCUACGGGAGGCAGCAGUGGGGAAUUUUGGACAAUGGGCGCAAGCCUGAUCCAGCAAUGCCGCGUGCGGGAAGAAGGCCUUCGGGUUGUAGACCGCUUUUGUACGGAACGAAAAGGCUCUGGCUAAUACCUGGGGCUGAUGACGGUACCGUAAGAAUAAGCACCGGCUAACUACGUG
rnacentral:rRNA from 1 species